rnacentral:rRNA from 1 species
GAUGAACGCUGGCGGCGUGCUUAACACAUGCAAGUCGAACGAUGAACCUCACUUGUGGGGGGAUUAGUGGCGAACGGGUGAGUAACACGUGAGUAACCUGCCCUUGACUCUGGGAUAAGCCUGGGAAACCGGGUCUAAUACUGGAUACGACCUUCUGGCGCAUGCCAUGUUGGUGGAAAGCUUUUGUGGUUUUGGAUGGACUCGCGGCCUAUCAGCUUGUUGGUGGGGUAAUGGCCUACCAAGGCGACGACGGGUAGCCGGCCUGAGAGGGUGACCGGCCCCAACUGGACUGAGACCCCGCCCAGACUCCCACGGGGGGCAGCCGUGGGGAAUAUUUCCCCAUUGGCGCAAGCCUUAUGCCGCGACGCCGCGUGGGGGAUGGAGGCCUUUGGGGUUUUAACCUCUUUCAGGAGGGAAGGAGCCGGCUUUUGGGUUGGUGACGGUACCUGCAGAAGAAGCGCCGGCUAACUACGUG